CUUGGGGAUAGAACCCAGGGAGGAAUAAAGAAACCCACUUUUCUACAGUCACAUAGAAAGUCAUAAAUAGCAGCAAAAUUGAAUUUCUAAGGCACCAGGAGAAUGAGGAGAAGCUUGUGGCUGACUUGAAUCCCUCAGAUGAUUUUGUUUUAUGAAGGAUGGGAUGAAAAUGUCAGAGUACACGGAAAACAUCUUAGUUCUUCCCAUCUCCAGUGGGAUCAUUCAAAUCCUGCCCCAGGUCCUGUUGAGCUAGUGCUGAUGCCCCAGGAAGAGGAGCAAAGAUACCCCACCUUGAAGAGCACCCCUCGAACUCCAAUGAAUUCUGCUCUUCUCUCUCAAUUUGCAGUUCCAAAGAAAGGAAGCCAUGUGAAAAUCAGAUUUUUGCUUUUAAAGGUGAAUGGAAAUGUUCCUUCCAACUCCAACUGAUGCCAUUCAUUAUUAUCAGAUGCUCAUUUCCUUCAGUCCUUUCUAAGAACAAUGGACAAACCCUACAAGGAUUUAUGACCAUACUGUGGGAAAACUGAAUAUUUGGACUGACCUGUUUUC
rnacentral:lncRNA from 1 species